rnacentral:tRNA from 1 species
GCUUCUAUCGUUUAAUGGUAAGACAAUGUUUUUUCGUGACAAAAAUGUAAGUUCAAUUCUUAUUAGAAGUA